rnacentral:tRNA from 1 species
UCCUCGGCAGUAUAAUGGGAAGUAUCCUCGCCUGUCACGCAGGAGACCGGAGUUCGAUUCCCCGCCGAAGAG